AGUUUGAUCCUGGCUCAGAAUGAACGUUGGCGGCGUGGAUUAGGCAUGCAAGUCGCGCGAUAAGCUCCCGCAAGGGAGUGGAAAGCGGCGAAAGGGACAGUAAUGCGUAGAUAACCUACCCCCGGGACCGGGAUAGCUGCGGGAAACUGCAAUUAAUACCGGAUAACGUCUCCGGACCAAAUGGUGUGAUUCCGCCAGGGGAUGGGUCUGCGUCCUAUUAGCUAGUUGGCGUGGUAACGGCACACCAAGGCAAAGAUGGGUAGCAGGUGUGAGAGCACGACCUGCGUCACUGGGACUGAGACACUGCCCAGACACCUACGGGUGGCUGCAGUCGAGGAUCUUCGGCAAUGGGCGCAAGCCUGACCGAGCGACGCCGCGUGCGGGAUGAAGGCCUUCGGGUUGUAAACCGCUGUCAGAGAGGCGGAAAUAUAGGGGGGUUCUCCCUUCUAUUUGACCUAUUCUCAGAGGAAGUGCGGGCUAAGUCCGUGCCAGCAGCCGCGGUAACACGGACCGCACGAACGUUAUUCGGUAUCACUGGGCUUAAAGGGUGCGUAGGCGGCUUGGCAAGUUGGGUGUGAAAGCCCUCGGCUCAACCGAGGAAUUGCGCUCAAUACUGCCGAGCUCGAGAGAGACAGAGGUAA
rnacentral:rRNA from 1 species